CCCUUAGAUGUCCUGGGCUGCACGCGCGCUACACUGAUGUGUCCAGUAAGCACCUAACCUCUUCCGAAAGGAACGGGUAACCUUUGCAAAGCACAUCGUGAUGGGGAUAGAUUAUUGCAAUUAUUAGUCUUGAACGAGGAAUUCCUAGUAAGCACAAGUCAUCAGCUUGUGUUGAUUACGUCCCUGCCCUUUGUACACACCGCCCGUCGCUCCUACCGAUUGAAUGUUCCGGUGAGCUCUUCGGACUGCGCGGUCUGCAGUUUCUGCGUUCCGUGCGGAAAGUUGCGCAAACCUUAACAUUUAGGGGAAGGAGAAGUCGUAACA
rnacentral:rRNA from 1 species